UACAGAGGUCUCAAGCGUUGUUCGGAUUCAUUGGGCGUAAAGGGUGUGUAGGUGGCGCCGUAAGUCGGGUGUGAAAUUUCGGAGCUUAACUCCGAAACUGCAUUCGAUACUGCGGUGCUUGAGGACUGGAGAGGAGACUGGAAUUCCUGGUGUAGCGGUGAAAUGCGUAGAUAUCAGGAGGAACACCGGUGGUGUAAACGGCUUUCAGGACCAUUUCUGACGCUGAGGCACGAAAGCGUGGGUAGCAAACAGG
rnacentral:rRNA from 1 species